AAAACUUGGGGUAGCUGAGAAGUAUAGUCCGUAUAUGGACACUUGGGCUAUAUGGAGCUAGUAGUGUAACCGACCCUCUUGC
rnacentral:ncRNA from 1 species